CAUCACAAUCACUAGAUCACAAAGCUUAAUGGAGUAACCCAACAGUCAACAGAAGAAAAGGUAUAAUAAAUCAACAGAAUUUUUAAUUUAAUUUUUUAUCAAAGGCGCACCCACUGUCUUAGAAAUUAGAAACCCAUCUUCAUAUCAUCAUGAUCUCUUUCGGGCUUUUACAAUAGUAAUUCGCAAAGAAAUUAAAAGAUCUUCAACAGCUCAGUGAGCAACAGUGACUCAAGGUUGCUGAUCAUCAACCCCGAAAGGCUUUCAGACACAUGGAGUAUUUUAUUAGUGGAUCAUCAUCAUCAUCAUCAUCAUCUUCAAGGCCGAUCCAUGUUUAUCUGAGUUUCAAAGGAGACAAUGAAACUUGCAGUUUCACAGAUAGGCUCUGGGCUGCUCUUGAAAGCAACGAUUUGAAUACCUUUUGGGAUGGCAAGAAGCUUGAACCGAGUGAUACCAUCUUUCUUCCACAUCAUUUUCUUAAAGCAAUUCGACAAUCCAACAUUUCCAUUGUGGUCUUCUCCAAAACUUAUGCUUCUUCCGUAUGGUGCCUUGAAGAACUCUUUGAGAUCGCUUCACGCAUUCAUAAACCACGAUACACUGUUUUCCCAAUUUUCUAUGGUGUUGAUCCAUCAGAGGUACAAAACCAGAGUAAUGUUUCCAAAAUAGCUUUUGCUGAACAUGAACAAAGAUUUGUAGCACAUUUACACAAGGUACAAAGUUGGAGGUUGGCAAUGAAACGAGUGGCCAACCUCUCUGGCUGGGAUGUACCAUCCGACUCAGGGCCACAAGUUAUUGAUGACAUGGUUAGAGAGGUCAAGAGAAAAAUGCGUGAAUUAAUUUAUGCUGAUGUUGACCUAGUAGGGAUACAAUCUCAAGUGAAAGAAGUAGAAAAACUUCUAGACUUGGGUACAAAUGACUCAGUUCGAGUUGUGGGCAUCUGUGGUAUGGGUGGAAUAGGGAAGACAACUCUUGCCAGAGUUCUCUAUGAUAAGAUCUCUCACUUUUUUGAUGCUUCUCAUUUCUUAGUUUAUGGAGAUGAAUUUGAUAUGAGCUCGACUCUAGUGCAUGGCAAGAACAUUCUUUUAGUUCUUGAUGAUGAUUUUGCUAUUUAUGAAGUUCAAAUACCACUAAUUCUGGCUAUAAAAGCUAGCUUGUUAGGUGGAGGGAGUAGAAUCAUCAUAACAACGAGAGAUGAAAGACUCCUUCAUGUGUUUGAGGGGCACAAAAUUUAUAGGGUUAAACUAUUAACUCAAGAUGAAGCUCUUCAAUUAUUUUGUAAAAAAGCUUUCAAAUGUUAUUUUCCAAUGAGGGGUUACGAAGAGAAAAUAAAUUAUGUGCUAAAAUAUGCCAAUGGUCUUCCAUUAGCAAUUGUCGAAUGGACUCAUACUUGUAUAAUAGGAGACCUUCAACAUGGGACAUGAUUGACCUCGAAAAGGUUGUUAACUUCAUAAUUAUGAAGGUCCUAAAAAGAAGCUUUGAUGAACUAAAAUCCAUAUGGAAGGAAGCAUUUUUAGACAUAGCAUGUUUCUUCAUAGGGAAGGAGAUUAAAUUUGUAGAAGGAAUUUUACAGUCUUGUGGUUUUCUUGGGGUUCAACUUUUGGUUGAAAAAUCACUCAUCACCAUUAUAGAUCAAAAAAUACAAAUGCACAGUUUGCUUCAAAAAAUGGGAAGAGAUAUUGUUCGGCAUGAAUUCCCUUCUAAGCCAGAAGAGUGGAGCAGAUUAUGGAACUUUGAUGACAUUUAUAGUGUUAUGCACAAUGACACGGCUACUUUUAAAGUUGAAGCUAUAGUCUUGGAUCUAGAAGAUUCACAACAGAGUCGGCUAAGGGUCGAAAGUUUAUCACAAAUGAGAAAUCUUAGACUGCUCAUAUUUUGUAACAUGAAAUUUUCUGAGAGUCCUAAAGCAUCUUUCAAAUCGACUCCGAUAUAUUUCAUGGCACCAGUAUCCUUUCCCUUCUGUACCAUCAAGUUUUGAUCCAUUUUCUCUCAGGGAAUUGAUUUUGCCUGAUAGCUGCAUCACAAGCAUAUGGGAUAUUGAAGAAAAGGUAUCAGCCCCCUCACACUGGAGACGAGAAAAGAUUUUCAAUUGCUUGACAAACAUGAAUAUUUGUGGCUCCAAAGAUUUAACCAAGAUGCCAAA